CUACGAUCGGUAGGGGUUCUGAGAGGAAGGUCCCCCACAAUGGAACUGAGACACGGUCCAUACUCCUACGGGAGGCAGCAGUGAGGAAUAUUGGUCAAUGGGCGGAAGCCUGAACCAGCCAUGCCGCGUGCGGGAAGGAGGCCCUAUGGGCUGUGAACCGCUUUUGCCUGGGGGCAAUAAGGGCGUCGUGCACGUCCGAUGAGAGUACCAGGCGAAUAAGCAUCGGCUAACUCCGUGCCAGCAGCCGCGGUAAUACGGGGGAUGCGAGCGUUAUCCGGAUUCAUUGGGUUUAAAGGGUGCGUAGGCUGUGCGUCAAGUCAGGGGUGAAAUUCCGGGGCUCAACUCCGGGGCUGCCCUUGAUACUGUCGCGCUGGAGUGCGGAUGCCGCCGGAGGAAUGAGUGGUGUAGCGGUGAAAUGCUUAGAUAUCACUCAGAACACCGAUUGCGAAGGCAUCUGGCGAAUCCGUAACUGACGCUGAGGCACGAAAGCGUGGGGAUAGAACAGGAUUAGAUACCCUGGUAUUCCACGCCGUAAACGAUGAUGGCUAACCGCCGGCGACACACUGUCGGUGGCCAAGCGAAAGCGAUAAGCCAUCCACCUGGGGAGUACGUCGGCAACGAUGCAACUCAAAGG
rnacentral:rRNA from 1 species